UUCACAUCAGGAUUCCAUUGUUGUAAACCCCUGCCUUUGAUAUCUAGUUGGGUAGAAUGAAAGGUUCUAGAAGGUUUAAUGAAGUGGACAAGCUUAAUAUUGUAUAGGAUUUAGGUGAAUUGGAAACAGUGGGAGAGAAGUUCUGUGUACAAGUUUAGCUUUCACUAAAUUAUGUGAAUGGAGAGGGUAAGUGCUAACUUGUCCAAUAGUAACAUCUUACAGGAUGGCCUCCCAGAGACAGAGAGAUGGCUUCAUAUAGUGAAGAAUCUUUUGUGAAUUGAAAAGAUCCCAUGGAAACCAUACAAGUGAGGUGUUUUCUCCCCUCUGCCACAGUCCUGAAGCCCCUGGUUUUGCUGCCACCACUGCUCCAGUCUCAGCAUCACCCAUCCUCCAUACGCCACUCCUGAUGCCAGCAUAAGAACAAUAAUUCAAGAGCACCAUGAGACCACCAGGUUGCCUACUGAAGGAUGAGAGAUCAUGAAGGAAAAUUGAAAUGACCUACUCCACAGCCAGUCUCCAGAUACGUGAAUGAAACCAUUUAGGACCAUCCAGCUUCAAGUCAAAAUGCCAGUUGGGAGCAGAACCAGCGGCUGACCACAGAGACAUGGGUGAUCCCAGUUGACACGAGCAGAAGGAAAACACAGUUGAACCCAGCCCCAAAUAAUGACUUGUACGAUCAUGAGCUAAAUAAAUGAUUUUUAAGCCACUAAAUUCA
rnacentral:lncRNA from 1 species